GUGGGGAAUAUUGGACAAUGGGCGAAAGCCUGAUCCAGCCAUGCCGCGUGUGUGAAGAAGGUCUUCGGAUUGUAAAGCACUUUAAGUUGGGAGGAAGGGCAGUAAGUUAAUACCUUGCUGUUUUGACGUUACCGACAGAAUAAGCACCGGCUAACUUCGUGCCAGCAGCCGCGGUAAUACGAAGGGUGCAAGCGUUAAUCGGACUUACUGGGCGUAAAGCGCGCGUAGGUGGUUUUGUAAGUUGGAGGUGAAAUCCCCGGGCUCAACCUGGGAACUGCCUCCAAAACUGCAUGACUAGAGUACGGUAGAGGGUAGUGGAAUUUCCUGUGUAGCGGUGAAAUGCGUAGAUAUAGGAAGGAACACCAGUGGCGAAGGCGACUACCUGGACUGAUACUGACACUGAGGUGCGAAAGCGUGGGGAGCAAACAGGAUUAGAUACCCGUGUAGUCC
rnacentral:rRNA from 1 species